AUAUUUGGGAGAAACUGGGAAUGUGAG
rnacentral:piRNA from 1 species